rnacentral:rRNA from 1 species
AAUUGUUCGCAAUGGGCGCAAGCCUGACGACGCAACGCCGCGUGGAGGAUGAAGAUUUUCGGAUCGUAAACUCCUGUCGAAUGGGACGAAUAGAUUGCGGGUUAACAGCCCGUAGUCCUGACGGUACCGUUAAAGGAAACCCCGGCUAACUCCGUGCCAGCAGCCGCGCUAAUACGGAGGGUGCGCGCGUUGUCCGGAAUCACUGGGCGUAAAGGGCGCGUAGGUGGCCGAGCAAGGUCGCGGUGAAAGCCCGGGGCUCAACCCCGGGUCGGCCGUGGCAACUACUUGGCUUGAGCACUGUAGGGGCGGGUGGAAUUCCGGGUGUAGCGGUGGAAUGCGUAGAGAUCCGGAAGAACACCGGUGGCGAAGGCGGCCCGCUGGGCAGGAAGACGGGCGCAAGUCCGUCGGCUGACACUGAGGCGCGACAGCGUGGGGAGCAAAC